GAGUGCAAUAUCGAUCUAUAAAUAUCCGGAAUUCCAUGACCCAUAUAUGUACGAGUGUACAUUGUUGAACGAAAAAGUGAAACGCAAACUGUCACGGGCGCAAUUAAAAUUGAGAUAUGAAGAAUCUGUUUGGAUGGCGGCCAAUAAGCUGAAGUACUUCAGCCGGGACAUAAUCAUUGGCCUCCAUUUUAUGGGCCCAUAAAGAAGGCCACAUCUAUAAGGCAACAAGAAGUAAACAAAUUGACUGAUGGGAUCCGUGACAAAAGCGUGCGGAUGUGGGGGCCAGGUCGUGUCGGAAAUCCAGACAUCCCCUGUCUGCUGCAAACCCCAAGGAAUUGUUUACAAUGGGUGCAGCAGUAGCUCCUCCUAGGCAAACAGCACACUGGCAUUUUCCUAGCAGAGCGGGGGAAAACAACCCUUGCGAGGUCAUUCGGAGUUCGUGGGCACUUUAAGCUGACUUUGAGCCUUGGGUGGAGUGGUAAGAAUCAACCUGAUAAGCUCGAAAGGAAACCGAGAAAACACGCAUGACAAUCUUCUGGUAAAUAACACAGAAGGAAAACGAAAUACAUAGAAUCUGGCUAAUGUUCUAAAUGAAACAAAUAUGACGAGGUCUGAAAGGCCAUUUCCGUCCAUCUGGGGGAAACUCGAAGUGCGAAUGAUGCUAUUUUCGGGGCAAU